rnacentral:rRNA from 1 species
AUUGAACGCUAGCGGGAUGCUUUACACAUGCAAGUCGAACGGCAGCGCGGACUUCGGUCUGGCGGCGAGUGGCGAACGGGUGAGUAAUGUAUCGGAACGUGCCCAGUAGCGGGGGAUAACUACGCGAAAGAGUAGCUAAUACCGCAUACGCCCUACGGGGGCAAGCAGGGGAGCGUAAGACCUUGCACCAUUGGAGCGUCGGAUAUCGGAUUAGCUAGUUGGUGAGGUAACGGCUCACCAAGGCGACAAUCCGUAGCUGGGUUGAGAGUACGACCAGCCACAAUGAGACUGAGACACGGCCCAGACUCCUACGGGAAGCAGCAGUAGGGAGUCUUGCGCAAUGGGCGAAAGCCUGACGGAGCCACGCCGCGUGAGUGAUGAAGGUCUUCGGAUCGUAAAACUCUGUUAUUAGGGAAGAACAUAUGUGUAAGUAACUGUGCACAUCUUGACGGUACCUAAUCAGAAAGCCACGGCUAACUACGUG